CUCGGCGAGUCGAGCUCGGACGGGAAGAAGCUACGAGUUGCCAUCAAGUUAGUGUAGUUGUAGGAGCGGUUUCUUGUUCCAGCAAUCUUCUUAUCACCGCCACAAAAAACCGCCGUCUCCUCCUUUCUUCCUCCUCGACAACCCCACUUCGGAUAACUCCACUUCCCCCACUCGGCUAAUCGUAGCUUCCUCCGCUCGCUCCUGCGCAUAGCUCAAUCGAAGGGCCGAGACCGAAGCGAUAGGAGGAGAUGGCGCACGCGUGUGUGUCGACGGCCUCCUCGCCUCUCAGAUUCAGUUCUCUCGCUCCCUCCCCGAACCCUAGCUCCUCGCUCGACUCUCAGAAGCUCGCCCUCGCCUCGGAGCCGCUUCGUUCCAGGAAAUUUAACAAGCUUGUUUGCAGCAGAAAGAAUCUUCAGCCGGCAAAGGCCGCUUAUUCGGGUGAGUUCUGGGCUUCCGAGGGGAGUUCUCUGCAGGGCAUCUGGUCCAUAAGGGAUGAUUUGCAAAUUCCGUCUUCACCAUACUUCCCUACUUAUGCACAAGGUCAAGGGCCUCCGCCAAUGGUACAAGAGCGUUUUCAGAGCGUAAUCAGCCAGCUUUUCCAAUAUAGAAUAAUACGCUGUGGUGGUGCUGUUGACGAUGACAUGGCCAACAUUAUCGUCGCUCAGCUUCUUUACCUAGAUGCUGUUGAUCCAAACAAGGAUAUUGUGAUGUACGUGAAUUCUCCUGGAGGAUCUGUUACAGCUGGUAUGGCUAUAUUUGACACGAUGAGGCAUAUUCGUCCCGAUGUCUCCACUGUGUGUGUUGGACUUGCAGCUAGUAUGGGGGCUUUCUUGCUAAGUGCCGGGACCAAAGGGAAACGAUAUAGCUUGCCAAACUCAAGAAUAAUGAUACAUCAACCUCUUGGUGGAGCACAAGGUGGACAAACUGACAUAGAUAUCCAGGCAAAUGAAAUGCUGCAUCAUAAGGCAAACCUUAAUGGCUAUCUCUCUUAUCACACGGGUCAAAGUCUUGAGAAGAUCAAUGAGGACACAGAUCGUGAUUUCUUCAUGAGUGCCAAGGAAGCCAAAGAGUAUGGACUUAUUGAUGGUGUGAUCAUGAAUCCUCUCAAAGCUCUUCAGCCCCUGGCAGCUGCGGCAGAUUCAUGAAGGCACCUCCGUCUCUAAGCUUUCUAGGCAGGAUUGGAUCUCAUCUUGGCUAGAUUUGUUUUUUGGGGAACAAGUGAGUUUACUAUACAGGAGCUAAGUCGUCUUCCUUGGCCCCUUUAAUGUGGUCCUUGCCAAUCGUCAAUUGGUGUAUUUCUUGUAAUUUCCAGAGCACUAAUUUGUUGAGGAUCUACAUAAUUUGAAGACUCAGAGAUGUGCAACUUUCCAGUGCAGUUUGUAGUUUUUUCCCUUCCUUUCACUUUUUGCACUUCGCCACGGCUCUCCCCCAACUCCGUUCUUUCCUAUUAUCCAAAUGUUAAUGAAAGAGUGUAGAUAUGUCAGUCUACCAUGAGAACUGGGAACCGCAGGGUUUAGGUUUCAGAAGCCUUGAGUUGCCUUGGCUUGAAUUUAGCAGGCAGAUCUUGAUUUUGUAAAGCAAUUUUUGCUGUUUUGGCUCUCCUGCAUCA